AAAGACUUAGUCCUAACCUUACCAUUAACUUUUGCUAGACAUAUACAUGCAAGUAUCCGCGCCCCAGUGUAAAUGCCCUCAACCCCUAUAGUCCAGGUAAGAGGAGCUGGCAUCAGGCACGCCCAUUGCAGCCCAAGACGCCUUGUUCAGCCACUCCCCCACGGGUACUCAGCAGUAAUUAACAUUAAGCAAUAAGUGUAAACUUGACUUAGUUAUAGCAAUGCCAGAGGAGCUGGCAUCAGGCACGCCCAUUGCAGCCCAAGACGCCUUGUUCAGCCACUCCCCCACGGGUACUCAGCAGUAAUUAACAUUAAGCAAUAAGUGUAAACUUGACUUAGUUAUAGCAAUGCCAGGGUUGGUAAAUCUUGUGCCAGCCACCGCGGUCACACAAGAGACCCAAGUUAAUCGUGCACGGCGUAAAGAGUGGAAUCACGAUAUCGCAGUAGUUAAGGUCAAAACGUAGCUGAGCUGUCAUAAGCCCAAGGUACAUCUAAAACCACCCUAAACACGACCUUAAUCCACACGACAAACUAAACUCCACGAAAGCUAGGGCACAAACUGGGAUUAGAUACCCCACUAUGCCUAGCCCUAAAUCUUGAUGUUUACCCCACCAAAGCAUCCGCCUGAGGACUACGAGCACAAACGCUUAAAACUCUAAGGACUUGGCGGUGCCCCAAACCCACCUAGAGGAGCCUGUUCUGUAAUCGACAACCCACGAUACACCCGACCACUUCUUGCCAGUAACAGCCUACAUACCGCCGUCGUCAGCCCACCUUCCGUGAAAGUACAGCAGUGAGCACAAUCGCCCUUAACCCCCGCUAAUAAGACAGGUCAAGGUAUAGCCCAUGAAGUGGAAGAAAUGGGCUACAUUUUCUAACUUAGAAAACUUUACGGAAAGGGGUGUGAAAUAACCCCUGGAAGGCGGAUUUAGCAGUAAAGCGGGACAAUAAAGCCCCCUUUAAACCGGCCCUGAGGCACGUACAUACCGCCCGUCACCCUCCUCACAAGCCCCUUACACCCCUAUAAAUAAUAACCCCUCUUGCCAAAGAUGAGGUAAGUCGUAACAAGGUAAGUGUACCGGAAGGUGCACUUAGCACAC
rnacentral:rRNA from 1 species